GACGAACGCUGGCGGCGUGCUUAACACAUGCAAGUCGAACGGAAAGGCCUGCUUUCCCUUGUGGAUUGCGGGUACUCGGGUGGCGAACGGGUGAGUAACACGUUAGUGAUCUGCCCCCAACUUGGGUAUAAGCCGGGGAAACUGGGUCUAAUUUCCGAUAGGACUGCAGGGUGGUGCCGGCGGUGGGAUACGAUUUUCUAGUGGUUGGGGUUGAGCACGCGGCCGAUCAGCUUGUUGGUGGGGUAAUGGCCUACCAAGGCGACGAUGGGUAGCCGGUCUGGGAGGGAGAGGAGGCACGGUCGAAUUGAGACACGGUCCCGACUCCGACGGGUGGGAGAGGUAGGGGUGAGUGAUAGUAGAGCGUGGGCCUGAGCCAGCUAUGGCGACGGUGUGUAGAGGAUCGCCGCAUUGGGGAUCUAAUCUCCUUGGGAGGGAGGGGAGGAAGCUUAGUUGUAACGGUGUUGACGGUAGCGGUAGAAGAAGCACCGGCUAACUACGUG
rnacentral:rRNA from 1 species